rnacentral:rRNA from 1 species
UAGGGAAUCUUCGGCAAUGGGGGCAACCCUGACCGAGCAACGCCGCGUGAGUGAAGAAGGUUUUCGGAUCGUAAAGCUCUGUUGUAAGUCAAGAACGAGUGUGAGAGUGGAAAGUUCACACUGUGACGGUAUCUUACCAGAAAGGGACGGCUAACUACGUGCCAGCAGCCGCGGUAAUACGUAGGUCCCGAGCGUUGUCCGGAUUUAUUGGGCGUAAAGCGAGCGCAGGCGGUUAGAUAAGUCUGAAGUUAAAGGCUGUGGCUUAACCAUAGUACGCUUUGGAAACUGUUUAACUUGAGUGCAAGAGGGGAGAGUGGAAUUCCAUGUGUAGCGGUGAAAUGCGUAGAUAUAUGGAGGAACACCGGUGGCGAAAGCGGCUCUCUGGCUUGUAACUGACGCUGAGGCUCGAAAGCGUGGGGAGCAAACAGGAUUAGAUACCCUGGUAGUCCACGCCGUAACGAUGAGUGCUAGGUGUUAGACCCUUUCCGGGGUUUAGUGCCGCAGCUAACGCAUUAAGCACUCCGCCUGGGGAGUACGACCGCAAGGUU